rnacentral:rRNA from 1 species
AACAAGGUCUCCGUUGGUGAACCAGCGGAGGGAUCAUUAUCGAGUUAUUCAACUUCCAAACCCUAUGUGAACUUACCACUUGUUGCUUCGGCGCGCGCUUCGGCGCCGCCGAGGACACUUAAACUCUUUGUUUUUAUAAGCAUUUCUGAGUGGCCGAAAGGCAAAAAUACAAAUGAAUCAAAACUUUCAACAACGGAUCUCUUGGUUCUGGCAUCGAUGAAGAACGCAGCGAAAUGCGAUAAGUAAUGUGAAUUGCAGAAUUCAGUGAAUCAUCGAAUCUUUGAACGCACAUUGCGCCCGCCAGCAUUCUGGCGGGCAUGCCUGUUCGAGCGUCAUUUCAACCCUCGAGCCCGACUCUUUUGAGGACGGCUCGGCGUUGGGGGACGGCAGACUCCCCCCGGCAUCUCGCCGGGGACGCCGCCCCCGAGAUCUAGUGGCGGCCCUCCGAGGCGACCUCUGCGUAGUAACUUGUUCUCGCACCGGAAAGCUCAGAGCGGCCACGCCGUAAAACCCCAACUUUUUUCAGGUUGACCUCGGAUCAGGUAGGACUACCCGCUGAACUUAAGCAUAUCAAUA